GAUCAUGGCUCAGAACGAACGCUGGCGGCAGGCUUAACACAUGCAAGUUGAACGGGAUUGGUUGAUAGCUUGCUAUUAAUCAUGAGAGUAGCGCACUGGUGAGUAACACGUGGGAACAUGCCUUUUGGUGGGGGACAACAGUUGGAAACGACUGCUAAUACCGCAUAAGCCCUGAGGGGGAAAGAUUAAUUGCCGAAAGAUUGGCCCGCGGAAGAUUAGGUAGUAGGUGGGGUAACGGCCUACCUAGCCGACGAUCUAUAGCUGGUCUGAGAGGACGAUCAGCCACAUUGGAACUGAGACACGGUCCAGACUCCUACGGGAGGCAGCAGUGAGGAAUAUUGGGCAAUGGAGGGAACUCUGAACCCCAGCCAUGCCGCGUGAGUGAAGAAGGUUUUCGGAUUGUAAAGCUCUUUCGGACGGGAAGAUGAUGACGGUACCGUCUAAAGAAGCACCGGCUAACUUCGUGCCAGCAGCGGC
rnacentral:rRNA from 1 species